UCUGGGAUUUGAGAAUGCAGAGUGUCCUGCCUCCUAGACAAGGACGUGGCAGUGCCAGCUCCUUGUGCAGGGCCCUCAGUUGGCCACUCUGCUGCUUUGGGUGGGUCACACGGGGCUUCCGGAGCCGCCAGAAAGAGCAGGGGAAGUGGGGGUGGGAGGCUGAGUGCACUGUGGACGGGUUGUGGAGCAUUGUGCAACAGAACUUCUGUGAUGUUGGGGUGGAAGGUUGUCGGGUUCUGCACCUUGUGACUGUUGGACACCAAGACGCCGGCACCCCGGCCUUGAGCACCCUGGGCCAGGGUAACCCCUGAGCCGCACCCAGCCUAGAACCAGAACUUCUCAAUGUAAGUGACCGCCUGCAGCUAGUCCAGGCCAGUGACUGCUGUGCUGAGCUGUGGCAGGUCCAGAUCUCCGGCUCCUUCAUUCCUCCAGCCACAUUCCUGGAACCUCUGUACUGGGGCCGGGGGGCACAGUGGGGAAAACAGAUUAAAAGCCCAGCCCUGGUGACACUCAGCGCCUAGUGGGAGACAGGACAAUAAACCAGAUAAGCCUGUGACCUAAUCAGGAGUCAGGUGAUAGUGAGUCCUAUCUGGAAGGCAGGUGCAGGCGUGGGAUGGCAGGGGUGGUCAGGGGUGGUCAGAGGAGG
rnacentral:lncRNA from 1 species